rnacentral:rRNA from 1 species
CACGUAGGGCGCAAGCGUUGUCCGGAAUUAUUGGGCGUAAAGAGCUCGUAGGCGGUCUGUUGCGUCCGCUGUGAAAACUCGGGGCUUAACCCCGAGCCUGCAGUGGAUACGGGCAGACUAGAGGUAGGUAGGGGAGAAUGGAAUUCCCGGUGUAGCGGUGAAAUGCGCAGAUAUCAGGAGGAACACCAGUGGCGAAGGCGGUGCUCUGGGCCGGAACUGACGCUGAGGAGCGAAAGCGUGGGGAGCAAACAGG